CAGAACACAACCAAAUUAUUUAAAUCAAACAUGUAAUCCACCUGAAUCCAAAUUCAAACAUUUUAAUGAGAAUUCAAGAAAACACCCAAAAUGCAGAUUGUGUCCCACUCACCUCAAUAUUUUCUACAUACUCUUUGAGAAAACUGAUUGUUUGUCAUACUUGCAAAGAUUGUUCAAAACACAAAGCAAAUGAACUGCAACCAAUAACACCCGCAGAGCAAAGAUGUAGAACCCAAAUGGUGAUUUCGAACCCGCCGCAAUCGGAGCGACAGCAGAGCUUGACCUUAUGGGUCUGAUCGAGUGCCUUUAAUCUAGUGCAAAGAUGACCUGUUUCGGUUCGACCUAUGUGUGGUCGGUUGGACCGGAAAAUAGGUGAAAUCUCAUAUUGCACGCUGUCCAUUUUUUAAUGUUUUCAGUUCAACUGGAGCUGAUCUCAAUUCAAGUGAAAAUUAUUGGUAUAGACUCUUUGCUGGCUGUGAUAUUUUGCACGAUUUUGACUCAACACUCAGACCGAGGAAUGUCGAUUUUGUCUGGAACCAUGCAAAGCUUUCGCCUCGUUCCAGUUCUGUUGGAUGUCUCAAAAGAUUCUCUCUAUCAGGGGAAGUAUAUAUGCUUUUGCGUGUGAUAUUCAUUUGUUGUGAUUCCUCUAUUAUGCCUUUCUUGCUAUGAGUGUAUGGCAUACCUGCGCAGGAACCAUGCUAAUCUUCUUUGUUUUGUUCCAAUUUUAUCGGAUGUCUCCAAAGAGAUAGUAACGCCAAUUCCUCUAUUCCCUC